rnacentral:rRNA from 1 species
GACGAACGCUGGCGGCGUGCUUAACACAUGCAAGUCGAACGGAAAGGCCCUGCUUUUGUGGGGUGCUCGAGUGGCGAACGGGUGAGUAACACGUGAGUAACCUGCCCUUGACUUUGGGAUAACUUCAGGAAACUGGGGCUAAUACCGGAUAGGAGCUCCUGCUGCAUGGUGGGGGUUGGAAAGUUUCGGCGGUUGGGGAUGGACUCGCGGCUUAUCAGCUUGUUGGUGGGGUAGUGGCUUACCAAGGCUUUGACGGGUAGCCGGCCUGAGAGGGUGACCGGCCCACAUUGGACCUGGGAUACGGCCCGACCCCCAACGGGGGGCGGCGGUGGGAAUUAUUGCACAAUGGCGGAAGGCCGAUGCAGGCACGCCCGCGGGGGGAAGACGGGCUUCGGGUUUGAAACCGCUUUCGCCUGUGACGAAGCGUGAGUGACGGUAAUGGGUAAAGAAGCACCGGCUAACUACGUG